rnacentral:rRNA from 1 species
UACGGAGGGUGCGAGCGUUGUCCGGAAUCAUUGGGCGUAAAGGGCGCGUAGGUGGCCCCUCAAGCGUGCGGUGAAAGUCAGGGGCUCAACCCCUGAUCGGCCGUGCGAACUGGGGAGCUUGAGCACUGUAGAGGCAGGCGGAAUCCCGGGUGUAGCGGUGGAAUGCGUAGAGAUCCGGAAGAACACCGGUAGCGAAGGCGGCCUGCUGGGCAGUUUUGCUGACACUGAGGCGCGACAGCGUGGGGAGCAAACAGG